UGGGGAAUUUUGGACGAAUUGGGCGAAAGCCUGAAUCCAGCAAUGCCGCGUGUGUGAAGAAGGCCUUCGGGUUGUAAAGCACUUUUGUCCGGAAAGAAAUCCUUGGCUCUAAUACAGUCGGGGGAUGACGGUACCGGAAGAAUAAGCACCGGCUAACUACGUGCCAGCAGCCGCGGUAAUACGUAGGGUGCAAGCGUUAAUCGGAAUUACUGGGCGUAAAGCGUGCGCAGGCGGUUUGCUAAGACCGAUGUGAAAUCCCCGGGCUCAACCUGGGAACUGCAUUGGUGACUGGCAGGCUAGAGUAUGGCAGAGGGGGGUAGAAUUCCACGUGUAGCAGUGAAAUGCGUAGAGAUGUGGAGGAAUACCGAUGGCGAAGGCAGCCCCCUGGCAAGUACUGACGCUCAUGCACGAAAAGCGUGGGGAGCAAACGGAUUAAUNCCCUGGUAGUCCACG
rnacentral:rRNA from 1 species